rnacentral:misc_RNA from 1 species
GAUGAAGAACGCAGCGAAAUGCGAUAAGUAGUGUGAAUUGCAGAAUUCAGUGAAUCAUCGAAUCUUUGAACGCACAUUGCGCCCUUUGGUAUUCCAAAGGGCAUGCCUGUUCGAGCGUCAUUUGUACCCUCAAGCUUUGCUUGGUGUUGGGCGUCUUGUCUCUCUCCCGAGACUCGCCUUAAAAUCAUUGGCAGCCGGCCUACUGGUUUCGGAGCGCAGCACAUUAUUUGCGCUCUUGUCCAGCCGCGGUCGCGCGUCCAUGAAGCUUCUUUCAAACUUUUGACCUCGGAUCAGGUAGGGAUACCCGCUGAACUUAAGCAUAUCAAUAAGCGGAGGA